rnacentral:rRNA from 1 species
UGGGCCAACCCUCUGAACUGAAACAUCUUAGUAGGAGGAGGAAAAGAAAGAAACAUCGAUUUCCUAAGUAGCGGCGAGCGAACGGGAAGAAGCCUAAACCAUACUUGUUACGGCAAUUAUGGGGUUGUAGGACUGCAAUAUUCAAGUGACUGUCAACUGGAAUGUUCUGGAAAGUUCAUCCAUAGAGAGUGAAAGACUCGUACAGGUAAGCACGUUAUGCGAUAGCAGUAUCCUGAGUAGGGCGGGACACGAGGAAUCCUGUCUGAAUCCGCCGGGACCACCCGGUAAGGCUAAAUACUCCCAAGAGACCGAUAGUGAACCAGUACCGUGAGGGAAAGGUGAAAAGAACCCCGAACAGGGGAGUGAAAUAGAACCUGAAACCAUACGCUUACAACCUGUCGGAGCAGCUUCGUGCUGUGACGGCGUGCCUAUUGAAUAAUGAGCCUACGAGUUACUAAUCACUGGCGAGGUUAAGUGCAUGGAUGCACGGAGCCGAAGCGAAAGCGAGUCUUAAUAGGGCGUUUAGUCAGUGGUUGUAGACGCGAAACCUUGCGAUCUACCCUUGAGCAGGUUGAAGGUUGGGUAAAACCAACUGGAGGACCGAACGAAUAAGCGUUGAAAAGCUUCUCGAUGACUUGAGGGUAGGGGUGAAAGGCUAAUCAAGCUGGGAAAUAGCUCGUACUCCCCGAAAUGCCUUUAGGGGCAGCGUUGUAAUAAAGAGUCUACUGGAGGUAGAGCUACUGAUUGGAUGCGGGGGCUUCACCGCCUACCAAAUCCUGACAAACUCCGAAUGCCAGUAGUAUGAUUUACAGCAGUGAGCGACCGGGUGCUAAUGUCCGGUCACAAAAGAGGAACAACUCAGACCAGCAACUAAGGUCCCCAAGAGUAUACUAAGUUGAUCUAACGAUGUUUUGUUGCAGAGACAGCUAGGAUGUUAGCUUGGAAGCAGCUAUUCAUUCAAAGAGUGCGUAACAGCUCACUAGUCGAGCGACAAAGCGUGGAUAAUAAACGGGCAUCAAGUAUACCACCGAAGUUCUGGGCACGAAAGUGCGGUAGGGGAGCAUUCCAUUCAGCGUCGAAGCCGAAUCGUGAGAUUUGGUGGAGCGUAUGGAAAAGCAAAUGUAGGCAUGAGUAACGAUAAUGCGGGAGAGUAACCCGCACACCGCAAGACCAAGGUUUCCUGAUCAACGCUAAUCGGAUCAGGGUUAGUCGGGUCCUAAGGGUAAGCCGAACGGUGAUCUCGAUGGACAAUCGGUUAAUAUUCCGAUACUAACAUAUACCUCGAUGGAGAGACGAAGGAACGUAAGUGACGCCGCCUGACGGAAUAGGUGGUUAAAGGGCGUAGGUAUAGGGACAGAUUAAGAGUUAGUCCUUGCUGAACCCCGACAGUACAGAGAGCCUACGGGCAAUUUGAUAGUGCACCCAAGUCGACUUCCGAGAAAAUCUUCUAAGUUAUAGUAUAUGUCACCCGUACCGUAAACCGACACAGGUGGUCGAGGAGAGUAUCCUAAGGUGCUCGAGUGAAUCACGGUUAAGGAACUAGGCAAAUUAACCCCGUAACUUCGGGAAAAGGGGUCCCACCGCGAGGUGGGCGCAGCGAAGAGGUCCAGGCGACUGUUUAUCAAAAACACAGGGCUCUGCAAAUUCGAAAGAAGACGUAUAGGGCCUGACACCUGCCCGGUGCUGGAAGGUUAAGAGGGGAUGUCAUCGCAAGAGAAGCAUUGAAUCGAAGCCCCAGUAAACGGCGGCCGUAACUAUAACGGUCCUAAGGUAGCGAAAUUCCUUGUCGGGUAAGUUCCGACCUGCACGAAUGGUGUAACGAUCUGGACACUGUCUCAACCGUGAGCUCGGUGAAAUUGUAGUCCCGGUGAUGAUGCCGGGUACCCGCAACGGGACGAAAAGACCCCGUGAACCUUUACUAUAGCUUAACGCUGAAUUUGGGUACACAAUGUGUAGGAUAGGC